GGACCAAUGAUUACUUACAAAAACAAAUCUUGUUGUAAUCUGAACAAAAUGAGUGACCAAACCACUUCUGUGAGCUAAGGUUC
rnacentral:snoRNA from 3 species